UCGCGAUGYCCGAAACCUCGGUCCCGCGGCACGCGUCCGUAUCAUUUAUUUGCCGGGUAUCGUCCUCCCGCACUUCUCCCCUAGUAGGACGUCGCGACCCGUUGGGUGUCGGUCUACGACCCGGGUGGGCGCCCGUCAUGUGUCACGCUUCACGGCGUCAUGUGGCAGACCCCCGGUUGUCUGACCAGCUGCCCGGCGGUACUCGCACGGUAUUGAGUCGCAAAUUUGAACUGCGUCCGGCCCGCCGCAAGCGAGGCCAGUGUUUCCCGGAUGUUACGGACUUAGCGCCGUCACCGGGCCUGGCCAGCUGUUGGCUGGCGGUGUCCUGGGACUGGCUCUUAAUAAAUACCGGUCGGCGACGCUACUGCUUUGGGUACUUUAAGGACCCGUCUUGAAACACGGACCAAGGAGUCUAACAUGUGCGCGAGUCAUUGGGAUCUGUAAAGCCUAAAGGCGCAAUGAAAGUGAAGGUAGGCCUACCGCCAACCGARGGAGGAUGGGCCGCGUCACGAUGCGGUCCCGCACUCCCGGGGCGUAUCGUUUUCAUU
rnacentral:rRNA from 1 species